GAUGAACGCUGGCGGCGUGCCUAAUACAUGCAAGUCGAGCGAACGGACGAGAAGCUUGCUUCUCUGAUGUUAGCGGCGGACGGGUGAGUAACACGUGGAUAACCUACCUAUAAGACUGGGAUAACUUCGGGAAACCGGAGCUAAUACCGGAUGAUAUUUUGAACCGCAUGGUUCAAAAGUGAAAGACGGUCUUGCUGUCACUUAUAGAUGGAUCCGCGCUGCAUUAGCUAGUUGGUAAGGUAACGGCUUACCAAGGCAACGAUGCAUAGCCGACCUGAGAGGUUGAUCGGCCACACAGGAACUGAGACACGGUCCAGACUCCUACGGGAGGCAGCAGUAGGGAAUCUUCCGCAAUGGGCGAAAGCCUGACGGAGCAACGCCGCGUGAGUGAUGAAGGUCUUCGGAUCGUAAAACUCUGUUAUUAGGGAAGAACAUAUGUGUAAGUAACUGUGCACAUCUUGACGGUACCUAAUCAGAAAGCCACGGCUAACUACGUG
rnacentral:rRNA from 1 species